CCCCGUAGCAUAUGUUCGUAUCAUCACAGGUGUAGCAGUUGUCUGCAUUCUUAUCACUUUGUGGGAGUAGAGGUGUGUUUCACCUAGACUGUGUUCGACAACCUUGGUGCACACUCUCUCGGAGGAUUUGUGGAGAGUUUCUCAAGUGCGUAUGUCUGCAGGUUUUGUCUUGGAGAACGAACCCAAAUCCAAGUACCUCAAUGUCUCAUCCUGCUAAACUUCGGAUCAUACUCAAAGAGCAUAACAUUCAAAAACUGGACUUACCACAUGGAAUCCCUGGAACAGUGGAAGAACUUGAAUCUAUUGUGAAAGAGACUUUUGAGGUUGAUGGGAAGUUUACUUUGCACUAUAAGGAUGCUGA